rnacentral:rRNA from 1 species
UACGUAGGGGGCAAGCGUUGUCCGGAUUUACUGGGCGUAAAGAGCGUGUAGGCGGCCAAGCAGGUCCGUUGUGAAAACUGGAGGCUUAACCUCCAGACGUCGACGGAAACCGCGUGGCUAGAGUCCGGAAGAGGAGAGUGGAAUUCCUGGUGUAGCGGUGAAAUGCGCAGAUAUCAGGAGGAACACCUAUGGCGAAGGCAGCUCGCUGGGACGGUACUGACGCUGAGACGCGAAAGCGUGGGGAGCGAACAGG